rnacentral:rRNA from 1 species
UCGCGUCACAACACGUGGAUAUCACGUCCUUGGGGCCGCGAUAUCCCCCGAAACUGUGGAGAUACCUCGAUAUAUGAUACGGCCCCUAGUGGUGCUUCUCCGAGACACCCUUCGGGGUGCCCAAGGAUGGGUCUGCGGCCGAUUAGGUAGUUGGUAGGGUAACGGCCUACCAAGCCCAUCAUCGGUACGGGUUGUGAGAGCAAGAGCCCGGAGAUGGAACUUGAGACAAGGUUCCAGGCCCUACGUGGCGCAGCAGGCGCGAAACCUCCGCAAUGCACGCAAGUGCGACGGGGGAACCCCAAGUGCCACUCUUAACGGGGUGGCUUUUCAGAAGUGUAGAAAGAUUCGAGAAUAAGGGCUGGGCAAGACCGGUUCCAGCCGGCGCGGUAACACCGGCAGCUCAAGUGGUAGCCGCUUUUAUUGGGCGUAAAGCGUCCGUAGCCGGUGAGAUAAGUCUCUGGUGAAAUCCCACAGCUUAGCUGUGGGAAUUGCUGGGGAGACGGUCAUGACUCGAGGUUGGGAGAGGCGCGAGGGACUCCCAGGGUAGGGGGGAAGUCCGGUAAUGCUGGGAGGGCCACGGGGGGGGAAGGCGUCCAGCUGGAACGAACCUGACGGUGAGGGACGAAAGCCAGGGGCGCGAACCGGAUUAGAUACCCGGGUAGUCCUGGCCGUAAGCGAUGAAGCCUUGGUGUUGGGAUGGCUUCGAUCUGCCCCAGUCGCGAAGGGAAGGUGUUAAGUCCCGCGCCUGGGAAGGGCGGCCGCAGAGGAGGAACUUAAAGGAAUUCACGGGGGAG